AUGGCCAGGAAUAUUUUUAGGAGAUUAAAAUGAUUUCUAAAAGUUUUAGGACUCCUUUUUCUUUCAAAAAGUUAUGAAAAAUUUAUCUAUAAAUAGGGAGUCUGACAAUAAGCUUUGAGAGCCAAAAAAAUUAGUAGAAAGUAAGGAAAAAAAUAGAGAAAAAAAUAAAAUAGCUUUAGGAAUCCAAGAAAAAGAAGGACA
rnacentral:lncRNA from 1 species